rnacentral:rRNA from 1 species
UACGUAGGGUGCAAGCGUUGUCCGGAAUUAUUGGGCGUAAAGAGCUCGUAGGCGGUCUGUCGCGUCGGCUGUGAAAACCCGGAGCUCAACUCCGGGCCUGCAGUCGAUACGGGCAGACUGGAGUUCGGCAGGGGAGACUGGAAUUCCUGGUGUAGCGGUGAAAUGCGCAGAUAUCAGGAGGAACACCGGUGGCGAAGGCGGGUCUCUGGGCCGAUACUGACGUGGAGGAGCGAAAGCAUGGGGAGCGAACAGG